CCCCUCUCAGGAUCGCACCUGGAGAGUUUCCAAUAUUCUACCAGUCUUGGCUACAGGAGGGAGAGUCAAGCAGAGGCCUGCCCAUUCCAUUCCUAGCUUGGCCAGUGGCUAGUGGGUGGAAGGCAAUCUGCUACAAAU